GCCCAGGUAGCUCAGUCGGUAGAGCAGCGGACUGAAAAUCCGCGUGUCGGCGGUUCGAUUCCGUCCCUGGGCA
rnacentral:tRNA from 1 species